rnacentral:lncRNA from 1 species
GUCCCUAGUGUCGUCUGCCCCUCGGGUCCCUAGUGUCGUCUGCCCCUCGGGUCCCUAGUGUCGGUCCGUAGUGUCGUGUUUCUGCGACCCCUAAUACAUUAGUCCAUGUUUUGAUUUCUUCCCGUUUCUCCCUGCCCUCCAGAUGCCAAAGCUACCUCCACCUGCCAGUCCAGUUCAGCCGGUUGUAACUGGCAACCACUCCAGCCUGCUGUUGGUUCAGACGGAUACCAGUGGAAACAUCGCUAUCCAGCUGACUGGUGGCCCUGCCCUGAUGACCAAGAGGACUGCUGCUCUGGGUCAGUGAGGAAUGCUGCUUGGGUAGUGAGGACUGCUGCUCUGGGUCAGUGAGGACUGCUGCUCUGGGUCCUGAGGACUGCUGCUCUGGGUCAGUGAGGACUGCGUCUCGGGUCUGAGGACUGCUGGGUCACUGCAUCUGUAGUGUGGCUGUACUGGAGCACUGAUGGUCAUAUGGAAGAAUGAACUAUGAAGCCUUUGUCCAAUAUGGCACCCUAAUCCCUAGUAGUGCACUGCUUCAGGCCCGGCAACGUCCCAACGUCUCAUUGGUUCCACUCCGCAACUUCCCAACGUCUCAUUGGUUCCACUCCUGGCAACGUCCCAACGUCUCAUUGGUACCACUCCUGGCAACGUCCCAACGUCUCAUUGGUACCAAUCCUGGCAACGUCACAACGUCUCAUUGGUUCCACUCUGGCAACGUCACAACGUCCAUUGGUUCACCUCCUGGCAACGUCACAACGUCUCAUUGGUUCCACUCCUGGCACGUCACAACGUCUCAUUGGUUCCACUCCUGGCAACGUCCCAACGUCUCAUUCAUAUAUCCUAUCCUCUGGGGGUCUGCAUAG